rnacentral:lncRNA from 12 species
UGGGAAGUCUCACCCCCAGAGGAUCUCCUGGAUGCGAUGCCAGAUUCCAGGCAGGGCCGUUGGCGUCUACAGCACUACUGGACAGCGUACAGAGACCAGGCCUACUCUGUGCAGUGGAGGCAGGAGUGGACGUCUCCCCGCAAUCCUCCUCCGGGGCUCCCACGGCGAUGCCAGGCACGCGAGAAAGGUAGGGCCCCUGGCAUGGGCCCUUCUCCGGGAGACCUGAAGGAUGGAAGAUCCCAGAGCAUCUCCCUUGACCCUUCACCCUCAGACUCCCUCCCUCCUCGGAGGACUUUCCCGGAUGUGCUGUUGACUUUGGGGAAGAUGUUCUUGUUCACAUCUACUGCUCCUUGGCCCUCUGUGAUGGGUUUGCUCUACCUGCCAUAAGUCGUACUAGACCCUGAACGGCCGGUGUUGUAGAGCACAGCCGUGUCGCGAAGGAAACAGAAGCUCCUGUCAGGAGGGGAAGCCAUCGGAACCGUGCAAGACACAGGAGAGCUCAUGCUGCCCUGGUGGCCUCUUUGGCCUGAUUCCGACUCCUCGGUCUCCUGUCCCUCAAGAGGAGGCCGUGCUAGAACCGCUGACUGGUGAAAGAAACUCCGUCUUGAGGUCCAGACUGUCCUGUUUUCUCUGGAGUGACGCUCUCUGUGAGCAUUUGUGGAGUUAUUAGGAAAUAUUCUGGAGCCUGUUUGCCCUGAUGGUCGGUUCCUGCCCGGGAGGACUCCCUGGGGUCGUGGAGCAGAGGGACCGCCACCCGCCCCACCCCCGCUCGGUGUCAGCCUCGCCUGCGAGGACGUCCCGGACGUGCUGCACCCCCCACCCAGGGUGAGCCGGCGCCCUACUGCUCUCCAGCACGUGUUUGAUGGGUGGCAUUGGCCCGGCUCACCAGCGCACUCUGACCCCCGUGUCCCUUCUCACGCAGGUGGACGGCCAGAGGGAGCGAGCCCAGUGGCGCCCACC